rnacentral:rRNA from 1 species
GCUGGCGGCAGGCCUAACACAUGCAAGUCGAGCGGUAGCACAGAGAGCUUGCUCUCGGGUGACGAGCGGCGGACGGGUGAGUAAUGUCUGGGAAACUGCCUGAUGGAGGGGGAUAACUACUGGAAACGGUAGCUAAUACCGCAUAAUGUCGCAAGACCAAAGUGGGGGACCUUCGGGCCUCAUGCCAUCAGAUGUGCCCAGAUGGGAUUAGCUAGUAGGUGGGGUAACGGCUCACCUAGGCGACGAUCCCUAGCUGGUCUGAGAGGAUGACCAGCCACACUGGAACUGAGACACGGUCCAGACUCCUACGGGAGGCAGCAGUGGGGAAUAUUGCACAAUGGGCGCAAGCCUGAUGCAGCCAUGCCGCGUGUAUGAAGAAGGCCUUCGGGUUGUAAAGUACUUUCAGCGGGGAGGAAGGCGAUAAGGUUAAUAACCUUGUCGAUUGACGUUACCCGCAGAAGAAGCACCGGCUAACUCCGUGCCAGCAGCCGCGGUAAUACGGAGGGUGCAAGCGUUAAUCGGAAUUACUGGGCGUAAAGCGCACGCAGGCGGUCUGUCAAGUCGGAUGUGAAAUCCCCGGGCUCAACCUGGGAACUGCAUUCGAAACUGGCAGGCUAGAGUCUUGUAGAGGGGGGUAGAAUUCCAGGUGUAGCGGUGAAAUGCGUAGAGAUCUGGAGGAAUACCGGUGGCGAAGGCGGCCCCCUGGACAAAGACUGACGCUCAGGUGCGAAAGCGUGGGGAGCAAACAGGAUUAGAUACCCUGGUAGUCCACGCCGUAAACGAUGUCGAUUUGGAGGUUGUGCCCUUGAGGCGUGGCUUCCGGAGCUAACGCGUUAAAUCGACCGCCUGGGGAGUACGGCCGCAAGGUUAAAACUCAAAUGAAUUGACGGGGGCCCGCACAAGCGGUGGAGCAUGUGGUUUAAUUCGAUGCAACGCGAAGAACCUUACCUGGUCUUGACAUCCACAGAACUUAGCAGAGAUGCUUUGGUGCCUUCGGGAACUGUGAGACAGGUGCUGCAUGGCUGUCGUCAGCUCGUGUUGUGAAAUGUUGGGUUAAGUCCCGCAACGAGCGCAACCCUUAUCCUUUGUUGCCAGCGGUUAGGCCGGGAACUCAAAGGAGACUGCCAGUGAUAAACUGGAGGAAGGUGGGGAUGACGUCAAGUCAUCAUGGCCCUUACGACCAGGGCUACACACGUGCUACAAUGGCGCAUACAAAGAGAAGCGACCUCGCGAGAGCAAGCGGACCUCAUAAAGUGCGUCGUAGUCCGGAUUGGAGUCUGCAACUCGACUCCAUGAAGUCGGAAUCGCUAGUAAUCGUAGAUCAGAAUGCUACGGUGAAUACGUUCCCGGGCCUUGUACACACCGCCCGUCACACCAUGGGAGUGGGUUGCAAAAGAAGUAGGUAGCUUAACCUUCGGGAGGGCGCUUACCACUUUGUGAUUCAUGACUGGGGU